rnacentral:rRNA from 1 species
CCUACGGGAGGCAGCAGUGAGGAAUAUUGGUCAAUGGGCGCAAGCCUGAACCAGCCAAGUCGCGUGAGGGAUGACGGUCCUAUGGAUUGUAAACCUCUUUUGUCGGGGAGCAAGGCCCGCCACGUGUGGCGGGAAGGAGAGUACCCGAAGAAAAAGCAUCGGCUAACUCCGUGCCAGCAGCCGCGGUAAUACGGAGGAUGCGAGCGUUAUCCGGAUUUAUUGGGUUUAAAGGGUGCGUAGGCGGAAGGUUAAGUCAGCGGUCAAAUGGCGGUGCUCAACACCGGCCUGCCGUUGAAACUGGUCGUCUUGAGUGAGCGAGAAGUAUGCGGAAUGCGUGGUGUAGCGGUGAAAUGCAUAGAUAUCACGCAGAACUCCGAUUGCGAAGGCAGCAUACCGGCGCUCAACUGACGCUGAGGCACGAAAGCGUGGGGAUCGAACAGGAUUAGAUACCCUUGUAGUC